rnacentral:rRNA from 1 species
GAGUUCACUAGUGAUUCAGGCCUAACACAUGCAAGUCGAGCGGUAGAGAGAAGCUUGCUUCUCUUAAAAACGGCGGACGGGUGAGUAAUGCCUAGGAAUCUGCCUGGUAGUGGGGGAUAACGUUCGGAAACGGACGCUAAUACCGCAUACGUCCUACGGGAGAAAGCAGGGGACCUUCGGGCCUUGCGCUAUCAGAUGAGCCUAGGUCGGAUUAGCUAGUUGGUGAGGUAAUGGCUCACCAAGGCUACGAUCCGUAACUGGUCUGAGAGGAUGAUCAGUCACACUGGAACGGAGACACGGUCCAGACUCCUACGGGAGGCAGCAGUGGGGAAUAUUGGACAAUGGGCGAAAGCCU